GCUGAACACAUAUGCACAAUAAAAGUGUGGAAAAUGUGACCCACUUUAUCUGACAAAGCCUUUUGCAGGCACAAGAAGCCCCUGACCCUCAUUUGCUGCUUCCUCUUCCACCCACACCCACACUGAUGCUGGAAAUGUCCUUUUUGGGGGGGGCUCUGAAGACAGUUCCUGGUAAGUGCAUGACCCUGACUGCACAGAGCAGGAUGUAACAGUUUUCUGAUAGCUAAAACUGUUCUAGCUGCAAAACAAACACAUGUACACACACAGACAUUACGACAUCAGUGGGUUUUUUUACAUCUGGUGCCAUCAAAUAUAUGAAGAUGGUCUUCAGGACCAUCUUGAAAACUUCUCAAAACUAACUAAGGCAUCUUUAAACUAGCCAAAGCAUCUUGUUAGCUUCUUGCAACUAACAACUAGAUGCAAGCUUUCUUCUGGUAGACACCUCUUUCCCAUUGCCUAUUAGUCCUUGCUCUAAACAGUUCAUUGCACUGGCAUCAAGAGUGCAGAAUCACACUCUCUUUAUUUCUGUCCAAUAUCUGCAUUUUCAGUCCCUAAAAAAGGGAGAUGAGACAGUAUUUUGCAAGAAUCUUGCAAGUGCUUCCACUACUGCAAACUAGUAACUUUUCAACAGCACCUGUGAAAAGGCUUCCUGAAAGUCUGUGAUGGAAAUGAACACAUCAGUCCAUUUUCAGCCAAUCCUCUUUUUAUAGAAAUAGAGCUUACCUGCAAAACCCACCUUAGCUAACUCAGAAACAGGAAGAUACUAGAAAAAUGUUGAAAGAAGAAAAAAAAAAAAAACAUUUUACAAAACCAAAUGUUCCUGGAAGUAGUAAGAAAUUAAUGUCAAUUCUCUCCUGGGAGAAUGGAGCUAGUUACACACAGGCUGUCUCCUGACUUAAAAUUAUUUUUCAAUACAAGAUAUAUUUGUGAAAACUAAACUGAAAACCAAAGGGAUCACAAAACCUUUUAUGUCAGUCCUUCAGCUUCACCCAAAGACACAGAGCCAGGAGCCAAAGAAGAGAUUCAUGAUGGACAAGCAUGUUCCUGAAAAACCUGGAGGAGCAGAGCCACUGCCCCUCAGCAGAGCAAACCUGCAAGUGACAGCUGCCAUGCUGUGCAGCACAUCUAGGGGGAAUGGGGCAAAAUGGAGGCUUCUGGAGCAGGAUAAAGUUUUCCCCCAGGUCGCUUGGCAGCAAAGGGUAGUGUGUGCUAUGUUCGAGCUGCAGACAUGUGUGUGAACCCCUGCAUGCCAACAGCCAGCAAACAGCCUGAAACCUUUCCUGCUGUACUUCCAUGGGACUCUGCUCUGCCCAGCUGAUGGUUUUUGUGGGCACUUGUGGUGGGAUCCACCUCACCUCACCUGCUUUGUAGAGUCACCUACUGUGGUUGCUGCUCAGGUUUCCAUUAUCAUCAGGGAGAUGGAGUCAACAGAGCCCAGAAUGUAGUUCAUUCCACAUCAGGAUAAAACAUAACUUGCUUGCACCCAGUGGUUUAUAUUUAUUAGCACUUCACUGAUGAUAAAAAGAGCUAUAAAACCAGAUGCUUGUCUUAUAAACACCUAAUCUUAAAUGAACUCAACCCAUAGUGAUUCUGGGUACAUUUAUAUACACUUUGCUCUUGAAACCCAAGAACAACUGUGGGCCCAGGGUCAAAAUCAAACACUGCAAACUGGCUCAGUUUCCUGCUGCUGACAACAAGGAUGCUUUGGAGUAGAUGAUUUGCACCUACAGAGAAGAUGAAGGGAAGUGUUGCAGUGUGGUUUAAUUUAGUCAGUUGGUUUUAUCAAUGUUAGUUAGUCUUUAUGCUCCCCCAUUUGUCCCCCUGUUACAUUAUCAUAGGUUGUUGUAUCCCUCUCUGGUUUAUCCCCAUUGGGCAAGACAGGUUUCCACCCCUGUCUGCCCACCCCUUAUUUAAGUUGCUGUAAUAAUUGAUUUCUUUGGCAUUUGUCACUGCACCCACCCAGAGGGCACCUUUCUUGCCCCACCUGGGGAAAUCAAAGGACUCUUUGGGCUGGCAUACAAGUGUCCUACUCUCAUCCCUUCACCUCCUCUCAGGGUGCAGAGUUGCCCAAGCUGCACCCACGAGCAGCACUCAGCACCAUCGGGGCAGAUGAUUCUCCCUGAGGUGCCACUCACAGGGCGGCCACGCGGCCUCACACGGGCGGUGCUGGCCGGGACCUUCCACCCACCCGGGGCCAUGGCAGGUACCGCUGCAGGGAAACGUCAGCACAGGGCUCACCUGCUCACCCACAGGCCUCCUUGGCUU
rnacentral:lncRNA from 1 species